rnacentral:snRNA from 1 species
GACAUGAGAGUGAUCUGGCUACACGAUCUGUCUGCUACUGAUUGUCAGGAUUGAGCUAGCUGAACUGGUUGGCUAGGCCAGUUUACCUGCCCUCCCUGGACGUGCCAUGUGCAUCAUUUCUGGAGCUGCUCACUCAGAUGAAGAAAAUGGUCUUCCCCAUUAAAGAAAGACAUUCUUCAGUCAAGGGUAUGGGUAUCUUCACUGUCCUGCUUAACCCUCUAAACAGCUCAAAAGAUUGUGAAGACCUAAUUUUCUUAGGUCUUUCCUAA